ACUCCUACGGGAGGCAGAAGUGGGGAAUAUUGGACAAUGGGCGCAAGCCUGAUCCAGCCAUGCCGCGUGAGUGAUGAAGGCCCUAGGGUUGUAAAGCUCUUUCACCGGUGAAGAUAAUGACGGUAACCGGAGAAGAAGCCCCGGCUAACUUCGUGCCAGCAGCCGCGGUAAUACGAAGGGGGCUAGCGUUGUUCGGAUUUACUGGGCGUAAAGCGCACGUAGGCGGACUAUUAAGUCAGGGGUGAAAUCCCGGGGCUCAACCCCGGAACUGCCUUUGAUACUGGUAGUCUUGAGUUCGAGAGAGGUGAGUGGAAUUCCGAGUGUAGGGGUGAAAUUCGUAGAUAUUCGGAGGAACACCAGUGGCGAAGGCGGCUCACUGGCUCGAUACUGACGCUGAGGUGCGAAAGCGUGGGGAGCAAACAGGAUUAGAUACCCGGGUAGUCCCAUGAU
rnacentral:rRNA from 1 species